UACGGGGGGGGCAAGCGUUGUUCGGAAUUACUGGGCGUAAAGGGCGUGUAGGCGGCCAACUAAGUCCGACGUGAAAUCCCCAGGCUUAACCUGGGAACUGCGUCGGAUACUGGAUGGCUUGAAUUCGGGAGAGGGAUGCAGAAUUCCCGGUGUAGCGGUGAAAUGCGUAGAGAUCGGGAGGAAGGCCGGUGGCGAAGGCGGCGCUCUGGAACAUUUCUGACGCUGAGGCUCGAAAGCGUGGGGAGCAAACAGG
rnacentral:rRNA from 1 species